rnacentral:rRNA from 1 species
AUGAACGCUGGCGGCGUGCCUAAUACAUGCAAGUCGAGCGAACGGACGAGAAGCUUGCUUCUCUGAUGUUAGCGGCGGACGGGUGAGUAACACGUGGAUAACCUACCUAUAAGAAUGGGAUAACUUCGGGAAACCGGAGCUAAUACCGGAUAAUAUUUUGAACCGCAUGGUUCAAAAGUGAAAGACGGUCUUGCUGUCACUUAUAGAUGGAUCCGCGCUGCAUUAGCUAGUUGGUAAGGUAACGGCUUACCAAGGCAACGAUGCAUAGCCGACCUGAGAGGGUGAUCGGCCACACUGGAACUGAGACACGGUCCAGACUCCUACGGGAGGCAGCAGUAGGGAAUCUUCCGCAAUGGGCGAAAGCCUGACGGAGCAACGCCGCGUGAGUGAUGAAGGUCUUCGGAUCGUAAAACUCUGUUAUUAGGGAAGAACAUAUGUGUAAGUAACUGUGCACAUCUUGACGGUACCUAAUCAGAAAGCCACGGCUAACUACGUG